rnacentral:rRNA from 1 species
CUUAGUUGCUACCACGUAAUGGUGGGCACUCUAGGGAGACCGCCGGUGUUAAACCGGAGGAAGGUGGGGAUGACGUCAAGUCCUCAUGGCCCUUACGGGCUGGGCUACACACGUGCUACAAUGGCGGUGACACUGGGAUGCAAUGGGGCGACCCGGAGCCGAUCCUAAAAAACCGUCUCAGUUCGGAUUGCACUCUGCAACUCGAGUGCAUGAAGUUGGAAUCGCUAGUAAUCGCGGAUCAGCAUGCCGCGGUGAAUACGUUCCCGGGCCUUGUACACACCGCCCGUCACGCCAUGGGAGUUGGUUCUACCCGAAGACGGUGCGCUAACCGCAAGGAGGCAGCCGGCCACGGUAGGAUCAAUGACUGGGGCGAAGUCGUAACAAGGUAGCCGUAGGGGAACCUGCGGCUGGAUCACCUCCUUU